GAAGCAAGUGAGCUGAGCGCAGGCGGGCGGACGCAACGAUGGUGGUGGUGGCGACUGCGAGCCCCGGUGGGCCGGAGGCGCUGCAGGUGCACGAGGUCGAGGAUCUCUCGGCGUCGGGGGAGGGCAAGCUGCUUGUCGGGGUGUCCACUGUCGGCGUCAAUCGCGGUGACACGGUCCAGCGGCAGGGCCGGUACCUGCCGCCGGCCGGCGCCUCGCCCUACCUGGGGCUUGAGUGCUCCAGCACCAUCGUCGCGCUCGGGGCCAACACCCCCCGUGCUGGGCUAUCGGUACCAGGUGUACGCGCUGCUUACCGGCGACGGGUAUGUGGAGAAGGUUGUGGUUCCGGCGGGGCAGCUUCUACCGAUGACAGAGGGGGGGGGGGUCGCUGACUGACAGCCGCCAGCUUGCCCGAGAUGGCCUGCACCGUCUGGUCCACCGUCUUCAUGCUAGUCACCUCUCCCCCGGUGAAUCCUUCCUUGAUUCAGAUUCAGAUGGAAUUUCCGACAUAAAAGACACAUAUCUUGUUAAUCAGGUGCUAAAGGUAUGAUCGGGAAACAAAGAACAUAUGUAACUUAAUAAUUAGCAGUUUCAUUUUGAUAUACUGUGCAAAAACACUUAUUUUCCAGGAAUCUAGCUUCAUGUAAACAUGCAGAGUCGUUUUUUCACAUCCAAUUUGUACAAUUGCAGAAACAAUCAAUCCUCUCUGCUUGAAGGUAGGUUAUGCACACAGAUUUGUUCUUACCUUGCAAGUAUCGUUGGAUGAAGAUAGUAGUCAUGAUCAUGGACAAACGCAGGUGCCGUCUUGCUGUCCCUCCCCGGGUUGCCUCGAUCUUGCAGGAGAGGAGCACGGGAGGGCGGUGGCUGGAGUUGGCAGUGGCUGAA